GACGUAGGGCGCGAGCGUUGUCCGGAUUUAUUGGGCGUAAAGAGCUCGUAGGCGGCUUGUUGCGUCGUUCGUGAAAUCCCGUGGCUCAACUGCGGGCUUGCGGACGAUACGGGCAGGCUAGAAUUCGGUAGGGGAGACUGGAAUUCCUGGUGUAGCGGUGAAAUGCGCAGAUAUCAGGAGGAACACCGGUGGCGAAGGCGGGUCUCUGGGCCGAUAUUGACGCUGAGGAGCGAAAGCGUGGGGAGCGAAC
rnacentral:rRNA from 1 species